GUCUCCCUACAAAAAAAUACGUUAGGGGGACUCGGUUGGCCAAAAAAAAUAAAAAACAGAAAUCUACCGGUGGUGGGAAUUUCUUAUGCGGCAGCUCCACCACCUCACCAUCGCGACUAGACAUUUUUCUUCGGUUCAAUAUGUAGAAAACAGAACGGUGAACACAAUGGUAAAAAAAUCGUACGGAACAGAAAACGAGAAAGGGCUCAUCGGAGGAGGUUGCGGGUUUUGCCCGCAAUUUAAGGCUCACUCGCCGUUCUUUUUACUCCGACUUGGCCAUGGGUGUGCUUGGAAUCAAAUUCCAAAUGGAUAAGAGAAUUUUUACUUUUUUUGGCAGUCGGCGGUCGGCUCCCUUCUCCAGCGACUGCUUCUUCUUCUCCAGCGGGAAGUUGGCAGGUAGGGUUUAGGUUCAGUGUGAUGCGGAAUAUUUAUACCUAUCUCGUAUUAAUCUGGAUCGUUCAUCGCAUUUGAUCUUGACCAUUCGAUCGCGUUUAAAGAGAA
rnacentral:lncRNA from 1 species